AUGGGAAAGGAAAAGACUCAUAUCAACAUUGUCGUCACUGGACAUGUAGAUUCGGGCAAGUCCACCACUACUGGCCAUCUGAUCUACGAAUGCGGUAGCAUCGACAAAAGAACCAUUGAAAAAUUUGAGAAGGAGGCUGCUGAGAUGGGAAAGGGCUCCUUCAAGUAUGCCUGGGUCUUGGACAAACUGAAAGCUGAGCGGGAACGUGGUAUCACCAUUGACAUCUCCUUGUGGAAAUUUGAGACCAGCAAGUAUUAUGUGACUAUCAUUGAUGCUGCAGGACACAGAGAGUUCAUCAAAAACAUGAUUACAGGGACAUCUCAGGCUGACUGUGCUGUCCUAAUUGUUGCUGCUGGUGUUGGUGAAUUUGAAGCUGGUAUCUCCAAGAAUGGGCAGACCCGAGAGCAUGCUCUUCUGGCUUCCACACUGGGUGUGAAACAACUAAUUGUUGGUGUUAACAAAAUGGAUUCCACUGAGCAACCCUACAGCCAGAAGAGAUAUGAGGAAAUUGUUAAGGAAGUCAGCACUUACAUUAAGAAAAUUGGCUACAACCCCGACACAGUAGCAUUUGUGCCAAUUUCUGGUUGGAAUGGUGACAACAUGCUGGAGCCAAGUGCUAACAUGCCUUGGUUCAAGGGAUGGAAGGUCACCCGUAAGGAUGGCAAUGCCAGUGGAACCACGCUGCUUGAGGCUCUGGACUGCAUCCUACCACCAACUCGUCCAACUGACAAGCCCUUGCGCCUGCCUCUCCAGGAUGUCUACAAAAUUGGUGGUAUUGGUACUGUUCCUGUUGGCCGAGUGGAGACUGAUGUUCUCAAACCCGGUAUGGUGGUCACCUUUGCUCCAGUCAACGUAACAACUGAAGUAAAAUCUGUCGAAAUGCACCAUGAAGCUUUGAGUGAGCUCUUCCUGGGGACAAUGUGGGCUUUAAUGUCAAGAAUGUGUCUGUCAAGGAUAUUCGUCGUAGCGACGUUGCUGGUGACAGCAAAAACGACCCACCAAUGGAAGCAGCUGGCUUCACUGCUCAGGUGAUUAUCCUGAACCAUCCAGGCCAAAUAAGUGCUGGCUAUGCCCCUGUGUUGGAUUGCCACACGGCUCACAUUGCAUGCAAGUUUGCUGAGCUGAAGGAAAAGAUUGAUCGCCGUUCUGGUAAAAAAACUGGAAGAUGGCCCUAAAUUCUUGAAGUCUGGUGAUGCUGCCACUGUUGAUAUGGUUCCUGGCAAGCCUAUGUGUCUUGAGAGCUUCUCAGACUAUCCACCUUUGGGUCGCUUUGCUGUUCAUGAUAUGAGGCAGACAGUUGCGGUGGGUGUCAUCAAAGCAGCGGACAAGAAGGCUGCUGGAGCUUGCAAGGUCACCAAGUCUGCCCAGAAAACCCA